UUUGAUCCUGGCUCAGGAUGAACGCUGGCGGCGUGCUUAACACAUGCAAGUCGAACGAAGCACUACCGACGGAACUUUUCGGAGGGAAGAUGGUAAUGACUGAGUGGCGGACGGGUGAGUAACGCGUGGGCAACCUGCCCCAUAGAGGGGGACAACAGCUGGAAACGGCUGCUAAUACCGCAUAACAAGGAGAGAGCGCAUGUUCUUUUCUUCAAAGAUUUAUCGCUAUGGGAUGGACCCGCGUCUGAUUAGCUGGUUGGUGAGGUAACGGCUCACCAAGGCGACGAUCAGUAGCCGGCUUGAGAGAGUGGACGGCCACAUUGGGACUGAGACACGGCCCAGACUCCUACGGGAGGCAGCAGUGGGGAAUAUUGCACAAUGGGGGAAACCCUGAUGCAGCGACGCCGCGUGAGUGAAGAAGUAUUUCGGUAUGUAAAGCUCUAUCAGCAGGGAAGAUAAUGACGGUACCUGACUAAGAAGCCCCGGCUAACUACGUA
rnacentral:rRNA from 1 species